GAUGAACGCUGGCGGCGUGCCUAAUACAUGCAAGUCGAGCGAACAGACGAGGAGCUUGCUCCUCUGACGUUAGCGGCGGACGGGUGAGUAACACGUGGAUAACCUACCUAUAAGACUGGGAUAACUUCGGGAAACCGGAGCUAAUACCGGAUAAUAUAUUGAACCGCAUGGUUCAAUAGUGAAAGACGGUUUUGCUGUCACUUAUAGCUGGAUCCGCGCCGCAUUAGCUAGUUGGUAAGGUAACGGCUUACCAAGGCAACGAUGCGUAGCAGACCUGAGAGGGUGAGCGGCCACCCUGAGACUGAGACACGGUCCAGACUCCUAGGGGAGGCAGCAGUAGGGAAUCGUCCGCAAGGGGCGGAAGCCUGACGGAGCAGCGCCGCGUGAGUGAGGAGGGUCUUCGGGUCGUAAAACUCUGUUAUUAGGGAAGAACAAAUGUGUAAGUAACUAUGCACGUCUUGAAGGUAACUAAGCAGAGAGCCACGGCUAACUACGUG
rnacentral:rRNA from 1 species